ensembl:misc_RNA dre-mir-735 dre-mir-735
GGCUGGUCCGAAGGCGGUGGGUUAGUCUUCUCUCCCCUCUCCCACCGCUAAACUUGACCAGUCUUUA